rnacentral:rRNA from 1 species
CGGACGACGCUGGCGGCGUGCUUAAUACAUGCAAGUCGAGCGAGGCCUUGGAAUUGGAGUCCUUCGGGAUGAAGAGUCCUUGGCCUAGCGGCGGACGGGUGAGUAACGCGUGGGCAACCUACCCCAAAGUCCGGGAUAACAGUGGGAAACCGCUGCUAAUACCGGAUGGCUUUACCUGAGGGCAGUCCUUGGGUAAAGAAAGGUUACGCUUUGGGAUGGGCCCGCGUCCCAUUAGCUAGUUGGUGAGGUAACGGCUCACCAAGGCGACGAUGGGUAGCCGGCCUGAGAGGGUGAACGGCCACACUGGGACUGAGACACGGCCCAGACUCCUACGGGAGGCAGCAGUAGGGAAUAUUGCGCAAUGGGCGGAAGCCUGACGCAGCGACGCCGCGUGAGCGAAGAAGGCCUUCGGGUCGUAAAGCUCUGUCCUUGGGGAAGAAGGCGAAAGCUUGACGGUACCCAAGAAGAAAGCCCCGGCUAACUACGUG